GUUGGCGGACGGCAGCCGGGCACCUUUGUGCAGCCUCCGCGGGAAGGGGCCGGGCGGCGGGGACCGGUCCGGGCGCAGACACUCCCCUGCGGAGCGGGGCCUCAUGGGAAGGGCGGCGGGCCAGCCGGUGCGUGAGCCCCGCAGACCGCGACCCCCCAGCAUCUCCCGCGGCCCCCGCGGCCCCCGCGCCGAGCCCCUGGCGGGUCCUCCCCUCGGCAUGAAUAAACCAGCGCAAUCCGGAACCGGGCGGAGAAUGCCGCGCACACCUGGAGGCUGGUCCGUGAUUCACUGCAGACUGGAUCGUCAGGAAAACGCUCCGAGGAAUCUGACAGUUCCUGAUUUAUGUAAGCAUUCAAGACAUGCUUUUUGAAUGGGGAUACUUCAGAUGUUCAGGUAUCCGGAUAAUUACAUAUCAGAGGCUGCCCAGGGAAGAAUAAUGAAGCUGGUGAAGGGACUUGAAACUCUGCUAUAUAAAUUAUGGGGUUGAAGGACCCUGAUGAAGGUGGAAAAGACUUAAGAAACUAGCAACAGCUGUCCUUGAACACUGAAAUAAUUACCGUUUGGAAGGAUCUUCAAGUGCAAAGAUGAAAAAGGCUGAAACAACAAGGCCUUGCUAUGUGGGUGUUAGAGGGGAGGUAAAUUGAAGGAGAUGCAGUGGGUGAGAUUCAAAUUCUGAAGGACUUAACGCUGGGGCAACUCUGUACCACCAACUCUCAGAUCCUCCGUGGUCCUUCUAGAAAAGUCUGCACAUGUGGGCAACACCACAAAGAUGACAGCAAUAAGUUGGAUAAAUCAGUGAUAUAAAACAUUAAUUUCUUCCUUUGAUUGACUGACACACAUUCUGGUCUGUGGGCAGCAGAUGUCGUAACUAUCUCCACCUCGUACAUUUUGGGGACUCCACCAUGCAGAUUCUCAAAGGAAUAGGUAAAGAUCUGAAUAUUUUUAAUGUUUACUUUAAAUGUUUAAAGUAUACUUUAAUGUUUUUUGCACUUCAAAGUCUUCCAGAAUUGGGGUUGUAUCCAAGAUGGAAAGUAAAAAUUGGUAAAGUGUGUGAAGAGCCGGAAAUGAACUAGUUAGUACAGUGAAAGUGGCUAAUAUAUUCCCACACUCCUUUAAGAGUAGGAGUAGGUGUGACACUGAAGUGUAGCUUGUCUCCUAACCUGUUUGACUUGAUUUGGGAACCUAUGAUUCAGAAGGUAAUGCAGUCAGUAAAUACAAGAAUUAAAAUUGUCAGAACUACUGACAUUUUUAUUCAGACAAAAUAACUACAUGUGUAGAAACUAAAGUAUAUUUUAGUUCCAAAGGCAGUCAAGCUCUGGCUACAGAACUAAGAGGAAACUGAGAUUAUUGGAAAUUCUUAAGACUACAGCUGGUCUAUGGUCACUAUACAAAUAUUCAGUAAGAUUUUCUACUUAUUGCACAAUAACUAAGCCUAUAUGGCAGUGGACAGGCUUUGUGAUUCAGAAUACUCAUUCAUUUAAUCAGGUUGAUAUUAUCAGUCAUUGUUUUUAUGAGAAAGGUGAAUGAAAUUGAAAAAUAAGCUUGCCACGCUCCUGAAAUGUUAGUUUAAGAUGAAGUAAGUAUUUAAAGAAGGGUCAAAUUCUUCACUAUUCACCAUCUCCUAAUAAAAAAAAUUCCAGAUCCUUUUUGCAGACUUAAUUCUUCUGUCUAUACCCCACCCUCUGAUCCAUGUUUGUUCAGUAGCGUUUCCACCACUUUACACAGAACAGCAUUAAGGAUAAUAUCCCUGGGACUUC